AUGACUGUACUAAACCGCCCCGGCGCAAGCGGUUUGACCCGGUCCGGGUUGACCCGCCCGUUAUUGUCAGCUACGGGCUCGGCCGGCUCGGCCGCUCCUCCGUCUGCAUCUCCAUCGGGAUCCAAACCGCCGCCAAGCCUCGCCGCGCUGUGCCCCGGCCUCCUGAGCCGCCGGGCCGCCUUGCGCGUUGCCCAUCCUUUGGCUCCACUGCGCCGGGCUGCCUCGCGCACUGCCGCAUCCCAAACCGUCUCUGGCCAGUGCCAUAACCCGGAGCCGCCUUCAAAUCAUCUGCUUCGAGCUGCCGCAUCCGCGCUUGACCCGGCUUCACACCACUGGCCUGACAUCUUUGCCUCGAACGCCUGCUGCUUCUGCGGCUGA
rnacentral:rRNA from 1 species